rnacentral:rRNA from 1 species
GACGAACGCUGGCGGCGUGCUUAACACAUGCAAGUCGAACGGAAAGGCCCUUCGGGGUACUCGAGUGGCGAACGGGUGAGUAACACGUGGGUGAUCUACCCUGCACUUUGGGAUAAGCCUGGGAAACUGGGUCUAAUACCGAAUAUGACCGCGCAUUUCAUGGUGUGUGGUGGAAAGCUUUUGCGGUGUGGGAUGGGCCCGCGGCCUAUCAGCUUGUUGGUGGGGUAAUGGCCUACCAAGGCGACGACGGGUAGCCGGCCUGAGAGGGUGUCCGGCCACACUGGGGCUGAGAUACGGCCCAGACUCCUACGGGGGGCAGCAGUGGGGAAUAUUGCACAAUGGGCGCAAGCCUGAUGCAGCGACGCCGCGUGGGGGAUGACGGCCUUCGGGUUGUAAACCUCUUUCAGCACAGACGAAGCGCAAGUGACGGUAUGUGCAGAAGAAGCACCGGCCAACUACGUGCCAGCCGCCGCGGUAAAAC